rnacentral:rRNA from 1 species
CACGCAGGCGGUCGGAUAAGUCAGAUGUGAAAGCCCCGGGCUCAACCUGGGAACUGCAUUUGAAACUGUCCGACUAGAGUCUUGUAGAGGGGGUAGAAUUCCAGGUGUAGCGGUGAAAUGCGUAGAGAUCUGGAGGAAUACCGGUGGCGAAGGCGGCCCCCUGGACAAAGACUGACGCUCAGGUGCGAAAGCGUGGGGAGCAAACA